rnacentral:rRNA from 1 species
GAUGAACGCUGGCGGCGUGCCUAAUACAUGCAAGUCGAGCGAACAGACGAGGAGCUUGCUCCUCUGACGUUAGCGGCGGACGGGUGAGUAACACGUGGAUAACCUACCUAUAAGACUGGGAUAACUUCGGGAAACCGGAGCUAAUACCGGAUAAUAUAUUGAACCGCAUGGUUCAAUAGUCAAAGACGGUUUUGCUGUCACUUAUAGAUGGAUCCGCGCCGCAUUAGCUAGUUGGUAAGGUAACGGCUUACCAAGGCAACGAUGCGUAGCCGACCUGAGAGGGUGAUCGGCCACACUGGAACUGAGACACGGUCCAGACUCCUACGGGAGGCAGCAGUAGGGAAUCUUCCGCAAUGGGCGAAAGCUUGACGGAGCAACGCCGCGUGAGUGAUGAAGGUCUUCGGAUCGUAAAACUCUGUUAUUAGGGAAGAACAAAUGUGUAAGUAACUAUGCACGUCUUGACGGUACCUAAUCAGAAAGCCACGGCUAACUACGUG